AUCGAUUUCUCUUCCCUCAGAAAUCGUUAUUGAUUUCUCAUCUUUAUGACCUCUUAAAUCAAUGAUUUUAAUGGCCACUUCCCUCAUAUUGAUGACCUCUCUUCCGGAACCUUAUUAAAACUUUCCCUUUCAUAAUCCUAUCAACAAGCAAAAACCUUUUCAAAAGCCUCUGAACUCCAAUCAUGGCAUCAAAAGAUAUACAUGUAUUUUCCUCUCUUUCUUUUUAAUGCGAUAUGAAUAUCUGAGUCCUCUUCAAUUGAUGAGAUUUACGCAAAAAAACCCAAAAAAAAAAACAAACAGAUUUGUGGGCUCAGUGUGUUGAUGAUGGAGCAGUCAAGUGGUAGUCUCGGAUACAAAGGAGAUGUGAACCCGGGAGAAUCAUCCUGUUAGUGAAGCUGAAAUUGGUUUCUAAGUAAGGAAAUAAUAGCAAGUGUUGAAAUGACUCAACGAAAAGAUGAUGAAUACCUAUGAAGAUUGCAACGGACGACGAACCAGUUAAGCUCCGAGAAUCCAAAGAGAGCCGAAGCAGUUACUAUUCUGAGGUUCAGAGAGAGAGCCGAAGCUCUCAUAGAGAAAGCUUCACCAUUUUUGAAGUAAUUGUUCUUGGAUCCCAAUCUGACACUGUAAGAGUUUGUACCAGUCAUGUGAGACGACGAAGUUUGCUGUACAAAACUUGGGACCGAAAAAAUAAUGUCAGAAGAAAACUAAAAAGAGAUUCUAUAGAGAAACCGAGACAGUACUAAAGAUGUUGUAAAGAGGUCCUUUGCAGUUUGGUAGCUCCCACAAGCUUCAGGAUCCGCAGCAGCAGCUAUACAUUAGAAAGCUAUGCAAGGACACCUGGGGAUUAGACCAAUGGGCAUCAACAACAACGGGAUGCAGAAUCCGAUACAACCAGAAACCGCUCUUGGAGGAAGCGUGGGGCAUAGAGGAGGGACGCAAAAUGGAGCAGAUGGACAAGGAAAAGCUGAUGGCAAAUGAAAGGAUCCAAAGGACCAAAGAAGCUUUGUUUUGUUGAUAUUUAGGACUACUGCUUUAUCUGAGUCUCACUAAGGCGUUGCAUUAGUUUUCUUGAGUUUUAACAGAAGAUAGACUGUGGAAUAGUAUAGUUCCCCCUCAUGUUCUCUCCAACCUUUAAACAUAUAUGUUGCAUAUACAAAAUACCAAACAGAA